ACAUAACAGUGUUCUCCUCCAAGUCGCUGCCUUCCCACCCUUUCCCCUCCCUUGGUCUGGAUUUUCUCAUACUCUCCCCUUUUUGGAAGUAUCUCUGAUAGGAAAUAAUCCAGAUUGAGAAGGGGGGAAAGGGUGGGAAGGUUGUGAUUUGGAGGAGAAUGUCAAAUG